UACGUAGGGGGCAAGCGUUGUCCGGAUUUACUGGGCGUAAAGCGUGCGUAGGCGGAAGUUUAAGUGUGGCCUGAAAGCCCCCGGCUCAACCGGGGAGGGUGGCUGCAAACUGGGCUUCUUGAGGGGGAUAGAGGAGAGUGGAAUUCCGGGUGUAGCGGUGAAAUGCGUAGAGAUCCGGAGGAACACCAGUGGCGUAGGCGGCUCUCUGGGUCCGCCCCGACGCUGAGGCACGAAAGCGUGGGGAGCGAACGGG
rnacentral:rRNA from 1 species